CUCAGUGGCACCUGGAAUCAGAGGGUUCCCAACAGCCUAGGGCCUCAUCUCUGGAUCUGUCAUCCUUCCAAGAGGCCCUGCUUGGUGGAACGCACUGUGGCUCCGAGGGGGACGAAGAGCAUGUGCUUGAGAACUCACCAUAGGGAAGACGUCGGGGGGAUGUGAACACAAAAAGCAGUAUGGAGGGCUGUGGGGCUGCCUGGGAGGGGCUCCUGCCUCAUUCUCAGCUCUCUGCCUAAUCCUGACUUCUACACACCCACCCCUAGGAGUCCUGCGGCCAGGAUUCGUGUGCAUCCCCCACCCCAGGAUUCUCUGAGCGCCCAGAGUAUGCACGUGUGUAAACCCUCACCCCCAUGGCAGCCUCCCAGAGACCUCCAGUGAAGAACCACUGGCCCCCAUACAAGCCCAAGUCUUGGUGUGACCGGGGAGCACAGAGCUCAAUGUAUCUGGGGAAAAGAAUCCCAGGACACUGUACUUCAAAAUCAGGGAUGUAAAGAAUGUCUUCAGGCUUAGACUCACUCCUCAUUCUGUGGGUGCUGCUGUGCCCUUGGAAGCUUGGCAACUUCUAUGCUCUCCGUUGAAGUUUGUCACCAGCUUGCCUCAAUAUCCCUCUCCCAGGGUAACCGGACACCAAUGAGUUUCAGCUCACACUCGGGAAGCACCUUACAGCCUCCUGCGACCUCAAACCUCUCUUUUGGCAAUUGGCAGAGCAACUGUGGCUUCCAUGUACGGACGAGGUCACUGAGGCUUGGAGAGAAAUCACGGGCCAGAGGUGAGGGCCAGAGGAAGGGAGUCCUCCUGGCUUGUGGGAAGCAGUCCCGCUCCUGUGACUCAUGGCUCUGGGAAAAAAAAGCAGAAGUGGAUUCCUGAGACUUUGCAGAGGUGGGGAGAAUUUUUCUUGCCCUUUCUAGCCCUAUUGUUCAACAAACGUGUACCAAGCUUUUAACAAGGACCAGGCACUGUGUGGGCACCACGCAAACGCAGAUGGAAUGACACAGAUCUGCCUUCAGAGGACUUCCUCUCUAGGGCUCAGGGAGGCCUGACUCUGAAUGCGGGGCAGACUUGGGAGCCAGGGUGCAUUUUCUAGAGAGCCUAAUGACCUGUUAGUGUGGGAGAGCCAGGGCCUGGUUGUCAACUACACUCACUCCUUGGGGAUCUGUCCGGUCCCUGGCUUUC
rnacentral:lncRNA from 1 species